GGAGUCUGGGCCGUAUCUCAGUCCCAAUGUGGCUGUUUUGCCUCUCAGCACAGCUACUGAUCGUUGCCUUGGUAUGCCAUUACCACACCAACUAGCUAAUCAGACGCAAACUCAUCUAUAAGCGAAUUACUUCUUUUCCAUAAUACUCAUGCGAAUUUUAUGAAUUAUGCGGUAUUAGCAAUGAUUUCUCAUUGUUGUUCCCCUCUUAUAGGUAGAUUAUUUACGUGUUACUCACCAGUCCGCCACUAACUUCUUUGAUAAGUAAAACAAAUCAAAGUCAUUCGUUCGACUUGCAUGUCUUAUGUGCGCCGCCAGCGUUUAUC
rnacentral:rRNA from 1 species